AUCCGCCUCGGCUCUCGCUCCUCAGGUCCAAGGCUGCGGCAGCCUGGGGCUCCAACUGUGCGUCCGCCUUGGGCCACAGCCUCCCCUCCCAGGCCCGGGGCUCCCAGCCGUGACCCUCGGGGCCGCGGGGAGGGAGUCCCAGAGGGGACUCGGGACCCGGCGCGCGCGGAGGGAGAGGCUUUGCAGCCGAGUGGAGCGCACGAGGAGGUGAGCGGUGGGGGUCCCUGCACUGACAGGGUCCGGCCCGGAGCCCGCACAAUCCCGCAUCGCCGCACUCACCUCAGAGUCCAGCCGCUGGUGUCAAAGCUGUUGUGCCCAGAGCAGCUGCAACAUGAAUAGAGCUUUCAAAGAAAUUUUUAACAAGUGGUUUCAAGACCCUGAAGCAUUUCUUCAAAGAAUUGGAACACAAGGUGAAACAUGGCUUUACCAGUACAAUAUUGAAGAUAAAGCACAGCACCAGUGUCUGUACCAGCACCUGACAGUGUCACCUAUGUCUUUUGAGGGAUAAUAUCUGUUCUUCUCCACCUAGAGAAUUCUGCUCUCUGCCAUGGCCUGGGAUAGCAGUAGAAGGCAGCCCAAAUCCCUGGGCCCCUGCACCCACGUGGGAGACCCGGAAGAAGCUCCUGGCUCUGGCUUUGGAUCAGCACAGCUCUGGCCGUUGUGGCCAUCUGGGGAGUAAGCCAAUGGAUGGAAGACCUCUCUCUCUAUCUCUUCCUCUCUCUGCAACUCUUUCAAAUAAAUAAAAUAAAUCUUUAAAAAAAUAUUAUCUAACAAUAUACUAUAUAACUUUGGAAUAUAUUUAAAAUAUCUCCAGUUCUUAUUAAUAUGAUCUUUACAUUUUUUAAGUAUAAUAAAUAUUUCAAAGGUUUACUGUAAAAAAUAUAUAGAAUUUUUAGUUUCCCUUUGACCAUACUAUAAGGUAAUCACUGAUAGCAGUGUGGUAUGUACCCCUGCAGAUUGCUUUCUAUGUAUUUUCAAAUAAAAAGGGAGUAUUUAGAACCAAGUGGAAGGGCCGCCGCUGUGGCGCAGUGGGUUAAUGCCCUGGUCUGAAGCGCCAGCAUCCUAUAUGGGCGCCGGUUUGAGACCCGGCUGCUCCACUUCCUGUCCAGCUCUCUGCUAUGGCCGGGGAAAGCAGUGGAAGAUGGCUCAAGUCCUUGGGCCCCUGCACCCGCGUGGGAGAUCCGGAAGAAGCUCCUGGCUCCUGGCUUCAGAUUGGUGCAGCUCCGGCCUUUGCAGCCAUUUGGGGAGUGAACCAUCGGAUGGAAGACCUCUCUCUCUCUCUCUCUGCCUCUCCUCUCUCUCUGUAACUCUUUCCUACUGACAAUAAUUGCAAAAGCUUAAAAAUCAAUUCUUUAACUUUAUAGGUCAAAUCCUAUUAUUAAGAAGUUUGUCAAUAAAUAUGUUUCCAGGGGUGGGUGUCUGGCAAAGUGGCCAGAGAUACUUGCAUCUCAUAUUACAGUGCCUGGGUUAAAGUCCUAGUUCCGCUUCCAGUUCCAGCUUUUUGCUGGUGCACUCCCUGGAAGCAGCAGGUUGAUGGCUCACAAACUUGGGUCCCUGCCAUCCAUAGGACAUGCAUGUUGUGCCAUCAUAUAUCACGUUAGUCGCUGUUCUUCCAAAUACACUCAAAAGCAAAACAGAUAGUUAUAUAACACUUCAAACUGGUUUUUUAUUAUUUAUUUGAAAAUCAUAGUAACAUCCUUCAACUAAGCCAUUUUCCUUUGGCUUUUUACUACUUUAUAUCUUUCUUGUUAAAAUUAUUAUUACAUGUUUCUUCAGAAAUCCAGGCUGAGUUCUGGACUCUUAACUUCAGCCUGGCCCAACUCCAGCUCUCUGCAGCAUUUGGGGAGUGAACCAUCAAGAUCUCUCUGUGUGUCUCUCUGACUUUUAAAGAAAUAUAUAAAAAUAUAUUUCCAAGGGGCAGUUCUUUUGCCAGAGGUUAAAAUGCCAGUUGGGAUACCUGCACCCUCUUUUAAAGUGCCUAGGUUCACAUCCCAGUUCUACUUCUGAUUCCAGCUUCCCAUUAAUGCACAUCUUGGGAGACUGCAAACAGUAACUCAAGAACUUGGGUCCCAGGUAUCCUCAUGGGAAACAUGAACUGACUUCCAGGCUGCCAUCUGGCCUAGCCCUAGCUGUUGUGGGCAUCUGGGGAGAGAACCAAUGGAAGGAAGAUGUCUGUCUCUCUUUUUCAAAUAAAUAAGCAAAAAUUUAAAAAUAUAUAUUUCCAAUAAAUUACCAUCAAAAGUAAUGCAAUUCUAGUAAAAGCAAAUUGCUGGGGCUGGUGCUGUGGGGUAGUAGGAUAAGCCUCUGCCUCUGGUGUCAGUAUCCCAACAGGUGCUGGUUCAUGUCCCGGUUGCUCCUCUUCUGAUCCAGCUCCCUGCUAAUGUCCUGCGAAAGCAGUAGAAGAUGGCCCAAGUGCUUGGGUCCCUGUACCCAUGUGGAAGACCAGGAAGAAGCUCCUGGCUCCUAGCUUAGGAUUGGCCCAGCUGUUGUGGACAUUUAGGGAGUGACAGUGGAUAGAAGACCUCUCUCUGUCUCUCUCUCUGUCUGUAACUCUGCCUUUCAAAUAAAUCUUAAAAAAAAAAAAAAAAAGAAAAAGAAAAUUGCCUAAACCAUUUAUAAAUAUUGUACCAAACUCAUUCUGCCAAGCAUUCAUGCACUUUUUAGGACAUGCAUAUUGUGCCAUCAUAUAUCAUGUUAAUCAUUGUUCUUCCAAAUACUCCCAAAAGCAAAAUAGUUACAUAACACUUCAAACUGGCUUUUUAUUAUUUAUUUGAAAAUCAUAGUAACAUCCUUCAACUAAGCCAUUUUCCUUUGGCUUUUUACUACUUUAUAUCUUUCUUGUUAAAAUUAUUAUUACAUGUUUCUUCAGAAUAAAUAAAAUAUAACAAAAUUCACUGUCUUAGUUCAGAGUUAGUGGUAAAGGACACAAACCAAACACAAUCUUGAGAAAAGGUGUUUAAUAUACAUGGUUACUCCACAAUUACCUCAACGAAUCUUGAAUUUUUCCUUAUUUAAAUAUAGGCAAAUUAGCAGGAUAGGGUUUACCUGGUUCCAAAGGAAUCUGACAGCCUCUUCUUGUACAAUUUUUUUAAUAUGUUCUUCAUCUCUUUCUUUUCUUAAUCUGCAAUAGUUCAAAAUAUAUUAUUGACACAAGGAAGGGUACUUUGACUCACACUUCCUAUUAAAACUACUAAAUGUAGGCACUGGAAAAAGAUUCGUAAUCUAAUAAUAGUCCUUUCUACUUUUAGACUAUCUAAACUAAAAUCUGAGUUUUAAAUAAUGACUCAAAGUAGAAGCCAAACAAGAUUUAACUGAAAUUCAGAUACUACUCCUACAAAGCAUUAUCAGUGACAGAAAUAAAAUAAAAUAUUAAAAUACUUUCAAUUUCCUGGCCAAACACAUGGAAGGGGAAGGAAGUACAGAAAUAAGUGGUUAUUCAAAGCCUUCAAAGCAGUUAAGGAUUAAACUUGAGUUAAACACUCAGGAUCACAGCUUGAAACACCCUUCUAUGAGAAUGGCUGGACUAAUCCCAGUGAACCUCACUUUCUCUUCUGUUACAGACCUUGAACACUCCCUGCUAGCUACAGAAUUCCUCAUCCAUCUUCUUUCCACAUUCAUUCAAAUCUUAGCUCCAGGCUCACUGUCAUCAUCUCCAUUCCUAGGCCUGUGACAAACAUAAGCCUCUUUUUUAAGAUUUAUUUACUUAUUUCAAAGGCAGAGUUACAAACAGAAAGAGAGAGAGAGAGACAAGAGAAGGGAGGGAGACCUUCCAUUCACUGGUUCACUCCCCAAAUGGCCACAGUGGCCAGGGCUGGACCAGGCCAAAGCUAGGAACACAGACUCUUCUCUUCUUUCACCUGCAAAUAUUAAUGUAUAUCACUAGUUGCAACAACAACGAAAUCCUAAUUUUUCUGGGUUGGUAGUCAGUAAAACAUAUGAAUCAUGGAAUUAAGGGAUAAUUCCUACUACAGUCCCAGAAUUUUAACCCCGUUUUGAACCUUGGCUAUUUUCUUUCAUGCUAUGUCACCUACUAAGUUUUAGGUAGACUUCCUCAUGUUUCCAUUUUAAUGCCUACUCUGUUUCCUACACUGGCUGUAUAUGUGUGUAUAAUUACACCUGCCUGUAAAGCUCAGUCACUCAACAUUCAUUGCACCCCUGCAUCUAUGUACCAGUUGCUGUGCCGAAAAUGGUGACGCAAAGUCUUUGCAUUCAAGACACUUGCAGGGUGCCAGUACAGUGGCACAGCAGGUUAAGCCACUGCGUGCAAUGCUGGCAUCCAUAUGGGUACUGGUUUAACUCCCAGCUGCUCCACUUCCAAUCCAGCUCCCUGUUAAGGCACCUGCCUGUGAAAGCAAUAAAUGAUGGCCCAAGUACCUGGGUACCUGUACCACGUACCCACAUGGGAAACUGGGAUAGAGUUUCAGCCUGGAUUCAGCCUGGGUUCAGCCUGGCUUAGCCUUGGCUGUUGUGGCUAUUUGGAAGGUGAGCCAGCAGAUGCAAAAUAACUCUCUCUCUCCCUCCCUCUCUCACUCCUUCUCUCUCUAACUCUGCCUUUAAAACAAAUAAAUGACUCUUUUAAAAAAAAUAUGCUUUCAGUGUAUUGUAAAAAACAAACAAGUAGAGGCCAGCGUUGUAGUGUAGCAGCAAAGCUGCCACCUGCAGUGCCGGAAUCCCAUAUGGGUGCUGGUUUGAGUCCCGACUGCUCCACCUUCAAUCCAGCUCCCUGCUAAAGUGCCUGGGAAAGCAGCUGAAGAUAGCCAAAAUCCUUGGGCCCCUGUAACCAGGCGAGAGACCAGGAAGAAGCUCCAGGCUCCUGGUUUCAGAUCUGCCUAGCUCCAGCCAGCACAGCCAUAUGGGGAGUAAACCAGUGGAUGGAAGACCUCUCUCUCUGCCCUUGCCAACCUGUAACUCUGCCUUUCAAAUAAAUAAACCUUUGUAAAAAUUUAGGAAAAAAAAGAUGGGGCAUAUACUUCCUAGCCAAAAAAAAAAAAAAAACUAAA